rnacentral:rRNA from 1 species
UGGGGAAUAUUGGACAAUGGGCGCAAGCCUGAUCCAGCCAUGCCGCGUGAGUGACGAAGGUCUUCGGAUUGUAAAGCACUUUAAGUUGGGAGGAAGGGCCAUUACCUAAUACGUGAUGGUUUUGACGUUACCGACAGAAUAAGCACCGGCUAACUCUGUGCCAGCAGCCGCGGUAAUACAGAGGGUGCAAGCGUUAAUCGGAUUUACUGGGCGUAAAGGGCGCGUAGGCGGCAAUUCAAGUCAUCUGUGAAAUCUCCGGGCUUAACUCGGAACGGUCAGAUGAUACUGCUUUGCUAGAGUGCAGAAGGGGCAAUCGGAAUUCUUGGUGUAGCGGUGAAAUGCGUAGAUAUCAAGAGGAACACCUGAGGUGAAGACGGGUUGCUGGGCUGACACUGACGCUGAGGCGCGAAAGCCAGGGGAGCAAACGGGAUUAGAUACCCGGGUAGUCCCUGAGCGGGCUGGCAAGGCGCAU